GUUGGUGCUGCUUCACCAUCAUCACAUAUCUUGUCCCCCGUCACACCUAUAUUUCGUAACAUUCAAUCAAAUGAAAAUCACAGAGGAUUGUAUACCCCUUUAACUACAUCGUCAAGUCGGAUUCCAUCAUCAGUCAUAGUUGAUGCCACUCUUCCACAAACACCGAUUAACUAUGGCCAACAACAUUCAUCAGACAAAGGUCUAAUUUCACCAUCAGCAUCUUUCCCUCAAACACAAGCACAUCCAAUUGACUGUUCCACUUUUAGGCCUGUUAGAAAACGCAAACACGGAUGUCCUAAACUCACCACUACAAAGUCACAUGACACCAUU